rnacentral:lncRNA from 1 species
UGAUGUAGAAACUGAUCUUGGCAGCACUAGCGUAGAUGAUAGCUCCCGUGGUGUUCAAGAAUGGCCUCCCUAGGAUGAUAGGAGCUCUCUCAUCAUUUUCGGUCUCUACCACCACGAAGUCUGCUAGGGCAUAUAAGGUACCAACUCGGACACAAAGGUUCUUCAAUAUUCCUUUUGGAAAAGUUAUCGUCUGAUCUGCAAACUGCAAACACAUGGUUGUCUCUAAUAAAGGAUAUGUAAAGAAUUUUUCAUAGAGUACCCUGGGUAUAAUGUUGACGCUGGAGCCAAAGUCGCAGAGUGCUUCUGGAACGUCCACCAUGCCGAUGG